rnacentral:rRNA from 1 species
UUUUAUGGAGAGUUUGAUCCUGGCUCAGGAUGAACGCUGGCGGCGUGCCUAAUACAUGCAAGUCGAGCGAACGGACGAGAAGCUUGCUUCUCUGAUGUUAGCGGCGGACGGGUGAGUAACACGUGGAUAACCUACCUAUAAGACUGGGAUAACUUCGGGAAACCGGAGCUAAUACCGGAUAAUAUUUUGAACCGCAUGGUUCAAAAGUGAAAGACGGUCUUGCUGUCACUUAUAGAUGGAUCCGCGCUGCAUUAGCUAGUUGGUAAGGUAACGGCUUACCAAGGCAACGAUGCAUAGCCGACCUGAGAGGGUGAUCGGCCACACUGGAACUGAGACACGGUCCAGACUCCUACGGGAGGCAGCAGUAGGGAAUCUUCCGCAAUGGGCGAAAGCCUGACGGAGCAACGCCGCGUGAGUGAUGAAGGUCUUCGGAUCGUAAAACUCUGUUAUUAGGGAAGAACAUAUGUGUAAGUAACUGUGCACAUCUUGACGGUACCUAAUCAGAAAGCCACGGCUAACUACGUGCCAGCAGCCGCGGUAAUACGUAGGUGGCAAGCGUUAUCCGGAAUUAUUGGGCGUAAAGCGCGCGUAGGCGGUUUUUUAAGUCUGAUGUGAAAGCCCACGGCUCAACCG